UUCCUCUGCUAUGGAGAUAAACACAAUAUUGCCAUGCAAGUGUUUUUAGUUACUAUGUGCCAUUAUGUGUAAACUUUUUCACACAAGUCUUGGACCGUGUAGCCUGAUAGAAACAUAUGGGUCUGUACUAUUGUCGGAGAGGUCCCGCCCUCACGUGAACUGUAGGCUACAACAGAGAAGGAUACUGUCUCGUUGCAAGACGGCCUUGUUUGUGUUACCUAUAGGCUCCACCUGCCAUGAGAACAGCUAAGCUUCCUCAACGCGAAAAUGCCCCGUUUUCCUUUGGAAUGUGCGUGUGACGAGGUCCAUCUUUUAGGAAUGUUAAGCUAUUCAAAUGGGCGUAAAUUAUGAAACCUUUCGAACACAUUCCUUAACUUAAAUGAGACUCAACGAAGCCAAUUCAGUGCGCCUAAAAUAGAGUUAAGCGCAACAACCCCAUCCCUGAACCCACACUUAGUGUUUACACCCUUUAUUGUCGGCUGAAGGUAGGACAAAGACGCACUGGCUGUAGCGCAGCAGGCGACUCUCUACAAGUUUAUUUCUUCCCCUUUAAAAAAGCUGCAGCCCUAGCGGUGAUCACUGGAGUCUAUCGGUUCCUCAGGAAACUCUGCGGAGAAGAGAAUGCACUAGCUGCACGAGAAACAGGGAUCAUGGCGGCACCGCUCGGGCGGGACACUCUACCUGACCACUGGUCGUACGGAGUCUGUCGAGAUGGCAGGGUCUUCUUCAUCAAUGAUAAAACUCACAUCACUACUUGGCUCCAUCCUCGUACGGGUGAACCUGUCAACUCCGGACACAUGAUACGAUCAGAUUUACCUCGAGGAUGGGAAGAAGGUUUCACAGACGAAGGAGCCAGCUACUUCAUCAAG